AGAUUGAACGCUGGCGGCAUGCCUUACACAUGCAAGUCGAACGGCAGCACGGGAGCAAUCCUGGUGGCGAGUGGCGAACGGGUGAGUAAUAUAUCGGAACGUGCCCAGUCGUGGGGGAUAACGUAGAGAAAUUUACGCUAAUACCGCAUACGAUCCAAGGAUGAAAGCGGGGGACCGUAAGGCCUCGCGCGACUGGAGCGGCUGAUAUCAGAUUAGCUUGUUGGUGAGGUAAAAGCUCACCAAGGCGACGAUCUGUAGCUGGUUUGAGAGAACGACCAGCCACAACUGGACUGAGACACGGCCCAGACUCCUACGGGAGGCAGCAGUGGGAAUUUUGGACAAUGGGCGAAAGCCUAGACUCCAGCAAGUGCCGCGUGCGAGGAAGAACGGUCCGUUCGGUUAGUAAACGU
rnacentral:rRNA from 1 species